rnacentral:rRNA from 1 species
AACGAACGCUAGCGGCAUGCCUAACACAUGCAAGUCGAACGAGACCUUCGGGUCUAGUGGCGCACGGGUGCGUAACGCGUGGGAACCUGCCCUUAGGUUCGGAAUAACUCCCCGAAAGGGGUGCUAAUACCGGAUAAUGUCUUCGGACCAAAGAUUUAUCGCCUUUGGAUGGGCCCGCGUUGGAUUAGCUAGUUGGUAGGGUAAAAGCCUACCAAGGCGACGAUCCAUAGCUGGUCUGAGAGGAUGAUCAGCCACACUGGGACUGAGACACGGCCCAGACUCCUACGGGAGGCAGCAGUGGGGAAUAUUGGACAAUGGGCGAAAGCCUGAUCCAGCAAUGCCGCGUGAGUGAUGAAGGCCUUAGGGUUGUAAAGCUCUUUUACCCGGGAUGAUAAUGACAGUACCGGGAGAAUAAGCGCCGGCUAACUCCGUG